AUUGAACGCUGGCGGCAUGCCUUACACAUGCAAGUCGAACGGUAACAGGUCUUCGGAUGCUGACGAGUGGCGAACGGGUGAGUAAUACAUCGGAACGUGCCUAGUAGUGGGGGAUAACUACUCGAAAGAGUGGCUAAUACCGCAUGAGAUCUACGGAUGAAAGCAGGGGAUCGCAAGACCUUGUGCUACUAGAGCGGCCGAUGGCAGAUUAGGUAGUUGGUGGGAUAAAAGCUUACCAAGCCGACGAUCUGUAGCUGGUCUGAGAGGACGAUCAGCCACACUGGGACUGAGACACGGCCCAGACUCCUACGGGAGGCAGCAGUGGGGAAUUUUGGACAGUGGGCGCAAGCCUGAUCCAGCAAUGCCGCGUGCAGGAUGAAGGCCUUCGGGUUGUAAACUGCUUUGUACGGAACGAAAAGCCCUGGGUUAAUACCCUGGGGUCAUGACGGUACCGUAAGAAUAAGCACCGGCUAACUACGUGCCAGCAGCCGCCGUAAGAC
rnacentral:rRNA from 1 species